rnacentral:rRNA from 1 species
UACGUAGGGCGCAAGCGUUAUCCGGAAUUAUUGGGCGUAAAGAGCUCGUAGGCGGUUUGUCGCGUCUGCCGUGAAAGUCCGGGGCUCAACUCCGGAUCUGCGGUGGGUACGGGCAGACUAGAGUGCGGUAGGGGAGACUGGAAUUCCUGGUGUAGCGGUGAAAUGCGCAGAUAUCAGGAGGAACACCGGUGGCGAAGGCGGGUCUCUGGAACGCAACUGACGCUGAGACGCGAAAGCGUGGGGAGCAAACAGG